UGAACGCUAGGCUAGUACUAGCUAAACCAACAUAGCAAGUCGAACGAUUGUUUUUCACACGGGGAGCUGGGCAGAAAGAAAAAGGCUCCUAGCUAAGGUAGCUUGUCUCGCCCAGGCAGGUGAGAACAGUUGAGAAACAAAGUGGCGAACGGGUGCGCUAACGCGUGGGAAUCUGCGAACAGUUCGGGGCCAAAUCCGGAAGAAACCUAAAAAGCGCUGUUUGGAUGAGACCUGCAGGGGGCUAGUAUUAGGUAGUUGGUCAGGUAAAAGGCUGACCAAGCCAAUCAAUAGCUUAGGCUGGUCUUUUCGGAUGAUCCGAGACCACAUGGGACUGAGACACGGCCCGGACUCCAACGGGUGGCCAGCAGUGGGGAAUCUUUGGACAAUGGGCGAAAGCCCGAUCCAGGACAAUAAUCGCGUGAGUGAAGAAGGGCAAUCCGCUUGGUAAAAGCUCUUUCGUUGAAGUGGCGGAUCAUGACAGGAUUCGAGGAAGAAGCCCCGGCUAACUCCCGUGCCAGCAGCGCGGUAAGACGGGGGGGGCAAGUGUUCUUCGAGAUGACUGGGCGUAAAAGGGCACGUAGGCCGGUGAACGGUUGAAAGUGAAAGUCGCCAAAAAACUGCGCGGCAAUGCUAUCGAAACCAAUUCACUUGGUGAGACAGAGGAGAGUGGAAUUUCGUGUGUAGGGGUGAAAUCCGGAGAUCUACGAAGGAACGCCCAAAAGCGAAGGCAGCUCUCUGGGUCCCUACCGACGCUGGGGUGCGAAGCAUGGGGAGCGAACAGGAUAGAUACCCUGGUAGUCCAUGCCGUUAAACGAUGAGUGUUCGCCCUUGGUCUACACGGAUCGGAUCAGGGGCCCAGCUAACGCGUGAGAACACUCCGCCUGGGGAGUACGGUCGCAAGACCGAAACUCAAAGGAAUUGACGGGGGCCUGCACAAGGCGGUGUGAGCAUGUGGUUUAAUUCGAUACUACGCGCAAAACCUUACCAGCCCUUGACAUAUGAACAACAAAACCUGUCCUUAACGGGAUGGUACUUGACUUUCAUACAGGUGCUGCAUGGCUGUCGUCAAGCCUCGUGUCGUGAGAUGUUUGGUCAAGUCCUAUAACGAGCGAAACCCUCGUUUUGUGUUGCUGAGACAUGCGCUUAAGGAGAAAGUCUUUGGCGAAGCCGAGUGAGCCAAGGAGCCGAGUAACGUGCCAGCGCUACUAAUUGAGUGCCAGCCUACGUAGCUGUGCUCUCGUAAGAAGGGAGCCGGCGCCUUUCUAAGUACUUUCUAGCUUAGCGCUUUCGUUUUCAUAAGGACCGUUAGGCUUUACUAAUAAAAUAGACAACGGUGCUUGUAUCCGUCGCUUGUUUUAGU
rnacentral:rRNA from 1 species